ACACCCUUUUUCCUUCUUGAGUGCUGUCGAGAGUUGUGCGAAGGAAGCAAGUUACCUGUGUUCACCCAAGCACGUAGGAAGGACAGACCACAACACGGCAAGAAGGGGCAAGAAGUAACAUCCACUUGGAAGUGGGAGAGUUCCAGAAUUCUUUUCCACAGACUAGCUGUGUGAACAUGGAGAAGUUACUCAGUGUCUCUGAGCCUCGGAUUCCUCAAAGGUAAAGUGGGAAUGACAGUCGAUGCCUCUCUCAGGACUGUUGGAGGAUUAAAUGUGCUGAUAGGCGGUGAAUGGUGGGUUCUCAGUGAAGCGCCCCUCUCCUGUGAUGGCAGCUAAAAGGGUGUCUGUGCUAGAGAACACCAGUGGGGACUCCUGGGGGCCAGAGGUGCUCAUUUUCCAGACUCCCUGACACCUCCCCUGCAUCCACAUUUCACUGUAACUGCCUCCAGCACAUUUAGACAGGAGUUUCUCCCGUUCUAAACAGUUUACAUUCCCAUGCUGCUUUGCAGUAGGGGCCUCCAUGAAGGCUCCCGGGUAGGAACCAUUAACCUAUUCCGGCAAGUGGCUGACUUUCUGUUCAGGAUAAAUGGAGACGGGAGGAAGGCCCGGCUGACAGCAAUUCAAAGCAGCACUACAGCACUUGGUUAUCUUCCUACAGGGCCCUUAGGCCUCACGGCUGGGAAAACAGUCGGUGGGAGCCAUGGAAAAAAAGAUUCUCCCUGUUCUUCCCGAUGAGUUGUAUUCCAAAGGUAGUACUUGACAGGAGCAUCUUCCAGGCUUUUUCCCAAUCCAUGUAAGGGACCUAAGAGAAAUGAAAACUAUUUUUCACCCCACCCCCUUCUUUGCUCUCCUUCUUAUUUCCUCCCCUUGGCAUUCUUUUCUUCUCUGUCCUCCUCUCCUAACACAGAUAGCUUUUUCAAAGUAUCCUGGUACCAGCUGCUGCGCAGAGAAUACUAUUUUUCUCUAAACUAAAAAAAAAAAAAAAGAUUAUUAUUAUAGUAAUUUUGAGGCAGAAAGGUCAAGGCUAAGGUAGCAAGUACAAAUUUUUUUUGAAAAAUAUGUUUGUGGAAAAAAAGAAUCAAACAGUCCAUAUGUGUAAAUAGUAUAUAAGUCCUCCGUUCUCACUCAUUGCCCUCAAUCUCAUUCCCGGGGGGCUGAAAACCACUCAACAGUUUGGAUGUGUUCUUCCAGACAUUUAUGAUUUAUUCAUCUGACGCAUAUAGAAUGGUCGCUCACUAUGUUCCGGGCAGGUGUCAGGGCCAACCAGCAGUGAACAAGCAUGAAUCUAUAUAUGAAUGUACACGUGUUUAUCUGCCAUAUAUAUUGACAAAGAUGAGAUCAUGUUAAUAAAUAAUAUAGUCACUUUUGCACGUUAGAAUGUAGAAAUAUAUACACACAUAUUUAUUAUUUUUCACAGCUGCAUAGUAUUCCAUCACAAGGAUAUACCAAAAUAUAUGCAACCUGUUAUACGUUAUUUUAAAAACAAGCCGUGUUUCCUUUGCUUGCAGUGUAGAGCAACCCACUUCGUGUGACCUACUUGAGCAGAACCUGGCAGUGUGGAUGGGGCUGCUCCGGGACCUGUCCCCUGCACAAGGGUGGAGAGAUGGCUGGCAGCGUGUGCUGACCCUUGGGACUCUUCAACGGGCAGGCAAGGCCAGCACCAGGAGCACAGUGUGCCUGCCCAGGCAUCUGGCUGUGGUGCCCAGUCGGCCAGUGGCGGAACUGAGUUCACACCCACAUCCCUCAGACUCCAGAGCUCUAGCGGCCACAGCUCCCAUCAUGUGCUUCCUUUGACAAUAAAUUCUCCAGUCUAUGGAUUAAACAAGGAGAAGGAAGGAGAGGAAAUAAACUUGAGGUCAUGAAAAACGCAGCCAAAGGAGGACAGUGCAUGCAUACUUGUGCUUGUGUGCAUGCACGUGUGUGCACGCACGCAGGCUCACAUGGGGAUGGGCAGUGAGUCCUGCCCCCACAUGAGCAAGGGCAGCAAAUGCUGACGUUUAAACAGAGAUAGUAAGAAGCUCUUGACUCACACUCCACCCCGCUAUCUGCCCCUAAUCUCCUCUUUUGGAG
rnacentral:lncRNA from 1 species